rnacentral:rRNA from 1 species
UCGGGAAUUUUGGGCAAUGGGCGAAAGCCUGACCCAGCAACGCCGCGUGAAGGAUGAAGUAUUUCGGUAUGUAAACUUCGUAAGAAUAGGAAGAAUAAAUGACGGUACUAUUUGUAAGGUCCGGCUAACUACGUGCCAGCAGCCGCGGUAAUACGUAGGGACCAAGCGUUGUUCGGAUUUACUGGGCGUAAAGGGCGCGUAGGCGGUGUGUCAAGUCACUUGUGAAAUCUCUGGGCUUAACCCAGAACGGCCAAGUGAUACUGUCGCGCUAGAGUGCAGAAGGGGCAAUCGGAAUUCUUGGUGUAGCGGUGAAAUGCGUAGAUAUCAAGAGGAACACCUGAGGUGAAGACGGGUUGCUGGGCUGACACUGACGCUGAGGCGCGAAAGCCAGGGGAGCAAACGGGAUUAGAUACCCCAGUAGUCCCUGAGCGGGCUGGCAAGGCGCAU